GCCGGGUGCGGUGGCAUGUGCCUGUAAUCCAAGUCACUGGGAGGCUGAAGUUGGUGGAUCAAGUGAGCUGAGGAGCUCUGGGCUGCAGCACUCUAUGUUGAAUGGGUGUCCACGCUAAGUUUGGUAUUGAUAUGGUGUUCGUGGGGGAGCCCGGGACCACCAGGUUGUCUAAGGAGGGGUGAACCGGCCCAGGUUGGAAACAAAGCAGGUCAAAUCCCCCGUGCUGUCCAGUAGUGGGAUAAUACCUGUGAGUAGAUCCACCAGGUUGUCUAAGGAGGGGUGAACCGGCCC
ensembl:misc_RNA Metazoa_SRP Metazoan signal recognition particle RNA